rnacentral:rRNA from 1 species
CGUAGGAUGCAAGCGUUGUCCGGAUUUACUGGGCGUAAAGCGCGCGCAGGCGGCACUACAAGUAAGGUGUGAAAUCUCCCUGCUCAACGGGGAGGGUGCACUUUAGACUGUAGAGCUAGAGGUCGGUAGAGGGGGUGGAAUUGCUGGUGUAGCGGUGAAAUGCGUAGAGAUCAGCAGGAACACCCGUGGCGAAGGCGGCCCCCUGGGCCGUACCUGACGCUGAGGCGCGAAGGCUAGGGGAGCGAACGGGAUU